rnacentral:rRNA from 1 species
GAUGAACGCUAGCGGCAGGCUUAACACAUGCAAGUCGAGGGGCAUCACGUUCAGCAAUGGAUGGUGGCGACCGGCGCACGGGUGCGUAACGCGUGAGCAACCUACCCAUAACAGUGGGAUAAGUCGGGGAAACCCGGUCUAAUACCGCAUGAUAUUAAUUUGGGGCAUCUUAGAUUAAUUAAAGCUUUGGUGGUUAUGGAUGGGCUCGCGUAACAUUAGCUUGAUGGUGAGGUAACGGCUUACCAUGGCUACGAUGUUUAGGGGUUCUGAGAGGAAGGCCCCCCACACUGGGACUGAGACACGGCCCAGACUCCUACGGGAGGCAGCAGUGAGGAAUAUUGGACAAUGGUCGGAAGACUGAUCCAGCCAUGCCGCGUGCAGGAAGACGAUCCUAUGGAUUGUAAACUGCUUUUAUGAGGGAGUAAUUAGGGCUACGUGUAGUCUGAUGAGAGUACCUUAUGAAUAAGCAUCGGCUAACUCCGUGCCAGCAGCCGCGGUAAUACGGGGGAUGCGAGCGUUAUCCGGAUUUAUUGGGUUUAAAGGGUGCGUAGGCGGUUAUAUAAGUCAGUGGUGAAAUUUUGCAGCUCAACUGUAAAUGUGCCAUUGAUACUGUGUAGCUGGAAAGUAGAUGAAGUGGGUGGAAUGUGUGGUGUAGCGGUGAAAUGCUUAGAUAUCACACAGAAUAUCGAUAGCGCAGGCAGCUCGCUAAUCUAUAUUUGACGCUGAGGCACGAAAGUGUGGGGAUCAAACAGGAUUAGAUACCCUGGUAGUCCACACUGUAAACGAUGAUCACUCGUUGUCGGCGAUAAACAGUCGGUGACCAAGCGAAAGCGAUAAGUGAUCCACCUGGGGAGUACGACCGCAAGGUUGAAACUCAAAGGAAUUGACGGGGGCCCGCACAAGCGGAGGAACAUGUGGUUUAAUUCGAUGAUACGCGAGGAACCUUACCCGGGCUCGAACGGCAGAGGGAUAUGUUAGAGAUAAUAUAGCCGCAAGGCUUCUGUCGAGGUGCUGCAUGGUUGUCGUCAGCUCGUGCCGUGAGGUGUCGGCUUAAGUGCCAUAACGAGCGCAACCCUUGUUGUCAGUUGCCAUCAGGUAAAGCUGGGGACUCUGGCGAGACUGCCACCGUAAGGUGCGAGGAAGGGGGGGAUGACGUCAAAUCAGCACGGCCCUUACGUCCGGGGCGACACACGUGUUACAAUGGGGGGUACAGAAGGUUGCUACCACGCGAGUGGAUGCCAAUCCCGAAAGCCUCUCUCAGUUCGGAUCGAAGUCUGCAACUCGACUUCGUGAAGCUGGAUUCGCUAGUAAUCGCGCAUCAGCCAUGGCGCGGUGAAUACGUUCCCGGGCCUUGUACACACCGCCCGUCAAGCCAUGGGAGCUGGGGGCGCCUGAAGUUCGUGACCGCAAGGAGCGACCUAGGGCGAAACCGGUGACUGGGGCU